UACGGCCACAUCACGUUGGGACACCGGUUACCGUACGAUCUCUGAAGGUAAGAAACGUCGCCCCUGGUCAGUACAUAGAUAGGUGACCGCUUAAGAAUACCAGUUGCUGUAA